AUUGAACGCUGGCGGCAUGCCUUACACAUGCAAGUCGAACGGUAACAGGUCUUCGGAUGCUGACGAGUGGCGAACGGGUGAGUAAUACAUCGGAACGUGCCUAGUAGUGGGGGAUAACUACUCGAAAGAGUGGCUAAUACCGAAUGAGAUCUACGGAUGAAAGCAGGGGAUCGCAAGACCUUGUGCUACUAGAGCGGCCGAUGGCAGAUUAGGUAGUUGGUGGGAUAAAAGCUUACCAAGCCGACGAUCUGGAGCUGGUCUGAGAGGACGAUCAGCCACACUGGGACUGAGACACGGCCCAGACUCCUACGGGAGGCAGCAGUGGGGAAUUUUGGACAAUGGGCGCAAGCCUGAUCCAGCGAUGCCGCGUGCAGGAUGAAGGCCUUCGGGUUGUAAACUGCUUUUGUACGGAACGAAAAGCCCUGGGUUAAUACCCUGGGGUCAUGACGGUACCGUAAGAAUAAGCACCGGCUAACUACGUGCCAGCAGCCGCCGUAACAC
rnacentral:rRNA from 1 species